ACGUAGGUGGCAAGCGUUAUCCGGAAUUAUUGGGCGUAAAGCGCGCGCAGGCGGUUUCUUAAGUCUGAUGUGAAAGCCCACGGCUCAACCGUGGAGGGUCAUUGGAAACUGGGGAACUUGAGUGCAGAAGAGAAAAGCGGAAUUCCACGUGUAGCGGUGAAAUGCGUAGAGAUGUGGAGGAAUACCGGUGGCGAAGGCGGCAUCCUGGACCGGCAUUGACGCUGAGGAGCGAAAGCCAGGGGAGCAAACGGGA
rnacentral:rRNA from 1 species